AAAUAUGUGGAAGGAGACUGGAGGAGUGUCUUCACAGGAAAAGAGGAGAGAGUGAGAUCAAGGGUGAGAAUGAGAGGCAGAGCUGGGAGAGAAUUGAACCAGAAGGAGAAGGGAGCAAAUGUUCAGAAGGAAACCAGAAGGAGAACUGAGCAAGAAGCGACAAACUCAGGAACAUUUGCUGAGCUCGUGAAUGGCAGACAUUAAAUCAUAGUCACUGCUUGUUGAAAAUGUAGGCACCAAUGUCUCCCAAUGUCUCCCAACCUGCCCUGCUCCAAACUCUGAUGCACACGUACCUGUGUACAGGUAGAUGGCAUUGCAUAUGAAGAAGAGUGGCUCAAGGAAGGAAAGCAGAGUCCCAGAAUUCUCCAGGCUAAUAAGAUGAAAUUUAAGCCCAGGCCAUUCUAAGUCUGAGUUCUUCUUAUGACACUAAGCCGCCUCAGUCAAGGCAUCAGAGAGGGAGCUAGAAAGCACAAGGCAAAUGGAUACUAAAUUCCUGAAUUGGAGGGAGUGGCCACCAUUAAUGGGUAAACUGCGGGUAAAGAUGGAGCUAGCAGAGAAAAACCUUUGCUAGCUUCACAAGUUUGCACAGCAUCCGUGCUUGUGAUCCUCUCUUGUGCACAGGAUAAAUGACCGUGAUUACCUACCCACACAGAAAGUAAGUUAGAACACUACUAUGAAUCUGUAGAUUAUACACCAACAUGGCUUAAGAUGAUUUAUCACAAUUGCAAAAGAUGCCUGAUUUUUUUUU